GGGGAAUUUUCCGCAAUGGGCGAAAGCCUGACGGAGCAAGACCGCGGGGGGGAGGAAGGUUCUUGGAUUGUCAACCCCUUCUCUCAGGGAAGAAGAAAGUGACGGUACCUGAGGAAGAAGCAUCGGCUAACCCCGUGCCAGCAGCCGCGGUAAUACGGAGGAUGCAAGCGUUAUCCGGAAUGAUUGGGCGUAAAGCGUCCGCAGGUGGUUUAUCAAGUCUGCUGUCAAAGAGUUUGGCUCAACCAAAUAAAGGCAGUGGAAACUGACAGACUGGAGUGCGGUAAGGGCAGAGGGAAUUCCUGGNUGUAGCGGUGAAAUGCGUAGAGAUCAGGAAGAACACCGGUGGCGAAAGCGCUCUGCUGGGCCGUAACUGACACUGAGGGACGAAAGCUANGGGAGCGAAUGGGAUUAGAUACCCCAUAGUC
rnacentral:rRNA from 1 species